AUGCCGACUCCGUCGAAGCUGAACAAGGACCCGCACAACCACUACUUCGACUUGGGGGCGGCGCGGCAGGUGCCGGAGACGCACGCGUGGGAGGGGCUGCACGAGCACCCGGUGGUGGACGGCGGCGUUGGGGCUGGGGAGGACGCCGUGCCGGUGGUGGACAUGCAGGAUCCGCACGCGGCAGAGGCGGUGGCGCGUGCAUCGGAGCAAUGGGGAGCGUUCCUGCUCCAGGGCCACGGCGUGCCGAGAGAGCUGCUGGCGCGCGUCGAGGCCGGGAUCGCCGGCAUGUUUGCGCUGCCGAAGACGGACAAGAUGCGCGCCGCGCGCCAGGGCGGUGACCCCUACGGCUACGGGCUGCCGCACAUCGCGCUCUACUUCUCCAAGACCAUGUGGUCCGAGGGCUACUCCUUGAGCCCGACCAACCUCCGCCCCGAACUCCGCAAGAUCUGGCCCGACGCCGGCCACGACUACAGCCAAUUCUGCGGCGUGAUGGAGGAGUUCCACAAGGAGAUGCGCGCGCUGGCAGACAAGCUGAUGGAGCUGUUCCUGGUAGCGCUCGGGCUCACCGGCCCGCAGAUCGCCGGCGUCGAGGCGGAGCACAAACUCACCGAGACCAUGAGCGAGACAAUACACCUCAACUGGUACGUAGUACAAAUGGCAACACUCCCAGCGGCUACUCGUGUCUCCACGUGUUUGACGUGUACUCUAUUGCAUGCAUGCAGGUACCCUAAAUGCCCUGAUCCGAAGCGAGCGCUGGGCAUGAAAGCCCACACGGACUCGGGGUUCUUCGCUCUCCUGAUGCAGAGCCAGGUCCCGGGGCUGCACCUGUUCCGGCACGGGCCGCCGGCUGACAGGUGGGUGGAGGUGCCGGCCGUGCCCGGAGCGCUCGUCGUCAACAUCGGCGACCUCUUCCAGAUCCUCACCAACGGCCGCUUCCGGAGCGUUUACCACCGCGCCGUCGUCAACCGUGACAGGGAGCGCAUUUCGCUGGCCUACUUCCUCGGCCCGGCCGCCAACGCCAAAGUAGGGCCGCUUAAGGAAGUCGUGGGCGGUGGCAGGCCCGCCUACCGCGCCCUCACCUGGCCGGAGUACAUCAUCGUGCGCAAGGAGGCCUUUGCCAACGGCGGCGCCGAUCUCGAGUUCACCAAAGGGGGCACCGCCCUCGAGAUGGUCUCCAUCAACCCCGACGACGACGAUGGCAUGGAUGACCAGGGUGACAUCUCCUCGUAG
rnacentral:rRNA from 1 species